UUCAGACACGUUGUCUACGUAGCUACGUAAGUUUCUACGUAAGAUGCUCGGUACCUGGUCCUGCAGGGAGGCCGGAGCUACUCCAUGGCUCCUACCAUCGCGCGGCCGGAUGGCCGCAUGCGUGUGCAUUGCAGACUUUUUGUUGUUGCCUUUUCGGAUGUGCAUGCACGAGGAACUUCCUUCUUUGGAACUGCUUCUUGCAUGAGCUGUUUCGGAUAUUUCGUCUCCUGGCCUGGCUUAUUUCGUUUCGGUGCUGCUGAGACCUCCUUUCGCGGAAUAUUACUCAAUGACAGUGUGCGAAGAACGCGAGUUCCCCUUCUCGACGAAAAUCGUGGACUAACAGUUUGAAGUCAUUGAACUACUUCCAAGAGUUGUAUCGACAUCAACAGGAUUACGAUUUCAGUGCAAUAUGA